rnacentral:lncRNA from 1 species
GAUUGCUAUAGGUAGCAGGAAUGCCUCACAGUAGGCAGAAUUCCAUCACCAUAAACCCAAAUGUGUCUCCUACAAGAAAAAGGGGUGACCUAAAGAAGCAGUUCCCCCAAAACAUCUUCCAGCCUGAAAUCCUCUGGGGCACUUUGCUAAGAGUGAAGCCUCUGUGCUUCCCACAUCAGUAAGAUUGUGACAUCUGUAAGAUUCAGGGUUGGCUUCUCUGAACUUUCAACCCAGCCCUCUGAGAACUGUUUCACCUGGACCCCAUCCCCACCCUGUCUCCUGCAGGGGGUCAGCCCACCUGAGGCAUGUGUGUGAAGUAUCUGGAAGGGGUGGU